UACGAAGGGGGCUAGCGUUGCUCGGAAUCACUGGGCGUAGAGGGUGCGUAGGCGGGUUUUUAAGUCAGGGGUGAAAUCCUGGAGCUCAACUCCAGAACUGCCUUUGAUACUGAAGAUCUUGAGUCCGGGAGAGGUGAGUGGAACUGCGAGUGUAGAGGUGAAAUUCGUAGAUAUUCGCAAGAACACCAGUGGCGAAGGCGGCUCACUGGCCCGGUACUGACGCUGAGGCACGAAAGCGUGGGGAGCAAACAGG
rnacentral:rRNA from 1 species